GACGAACGCUGGCGGCGUGCUUAACACAUGCAAGUCGAACGGAAAGGCCCUGCUUUUGUGGGGUGCUCGAGUGGCGAACGGGUGAGUAACACGUGAGUAACCUGCCCUUGACUUUGGGAUAACUUCAGGAAACUGGGGCUAAUACCGGAUAGGAGCUCCUGCUGCAUGGUGGGGGUUGGAAAGUUUCGGCGGUUGGGGAUGGACUCGCGGCUUAUCAGCUUGUUGGUGGGGUAGUGGCUUACCAAGGAUUUGACGGGUAGCCGGCCUGAGAGGGUGACCGGCCACAUUGGGACUGAGAUACGGACCAGACUCCUACGGGAGGCAGUAGUGAGGAAUAUUGCACAAGGGGCGGAAGCCUGAUGCAGCAACGCCGCGUGCGGGAUGACGGCCUUCGGGUUUUAAACCGCUUUCGCCUGUGACGAAGCGUGAGUGACGGUAAUGGGUAAAGAAGCACCGGCUAACUACGUG
rnacentral:rRNA from 1 species